rnacentral:rRNA from 1 species
CUACGGGUUGCUGCAGUGAGGAAUAUUGCACAAUGGGGGGAACCCUGAUGCAGCAACGCCGCGUGGAGGAUGACGCAUUUCGGUGUGUAAACUCCUUUUAUAUGUCAAGAAAAUGACGGUAGCAUAUGAAUAAGCACCGGCUAACUCCGUGCCAGCAGCCGCGGUAAUACGGAGGGUGCAAGCGUUACUCGGAAUCACUGGGCGUAAAGGACGCGUAGGCGGGUUGGAAAGUCAGGUGUGAAAUCCUACAGCCUAACUGUGGAACUGCACUUGAAACUUCUAAUCUAGAGUAUGGGAGGGGGAGAUGGAAUUAGUGGUGUAGAGGUAAAAUCCGUAGAUAUCACUAGGAAUACCUAAAGCGAAGGCGAUCUCCUGGAACAUUACUGACGCUAAGGCGUGAAAGCGUGGGGAGCAAACAGGAUUAGAUACCCGAGUAGUC